UUCCGGUUGAUCCUGCCGGAGGCCACUGCUAUUGGGAUCCGACUAAGCCAUGCGAGUCGAGAGGGUUCGGCCCUCGGCAGACUGCUCAGUAACACGUGGAUAAUCUACCCUUAGGUGGAGGAUACUCUCGGGAAACUGAGAAUAAUACUCCAUAGGUCUAGGAUGCUGGAAUGCACCUAGGUUGAAAGUUCCGACGCCUAAGGACGAGUCUGCGGACUAUCAGGUAGUAGUCAGGGUAAAGACCUGACUAGCCUACGACGGAUACGGGUUGUGAGAGCAAUAGCCCGGAGACGAUAUCUGAGACACGAUAUCGGGCCCUACGGGGCGCAGCAGGCGCGAAAUCUUCACAAUGUGCGAAAGCACGAUGAGGGGAUCCCAAGUGUUGGUUCGUAAGAGUCAUCUGUUUCUUUGUCUAAAAAACAGAGAGAGUAAGAGCUGGGUAAGACGGGUGCCAGCCGCCGCGGUAAUACCUGCAGCUCAAGUGGUGGCCGCUAUUAUUGGGCCUAAAACGUCCGUAGCCGGUUUAGUAAAUGCCUGGGUAAAUUGUGUAGCUCAACUAUACGAAUACCGGGUAGACUGCUAAACUUGAAACCGGGAGAGGUUAGAGGUACUCCUGGGGUAGAGGUGAAAUUCUGUAAUCCUAGGGGGACCACCAGUGGCGAAGGCGUCUAGCUAGAACGGGUUUGACGGUGAGGGACGAAGCCCUGGGGCGCAAACCGGAUUAGAUACCCGGGUAGUCCAGGGUGUAAACGCUGCUCGCUUGAUGUUAGUCGGGCUCCGAGCCCAACUAGUGUCGGAGAGAAGUUGUUAAGCGAGCUGCCUGGGAAGUACGGUCGCAAGGCUGAAACUUAAAGGAAUUGGCGGGGGAGCACAGCAACGGUGGAGCGUGCGGUUUAAUUGGAAUCAACGCGGA
rnacentral:rRNA from 1 species